GCCAACUGAAGGGAGUCCAGAUACACUCCCUGCAGUUACACUUAAGUGAGUUAGGCAGCUAUAUAAACCUUUUAAGUAAAUUAAAUAAAUAAAAUGUUGAGAACAGAUGGAAG